GGCCCCUUAGCUCAACUGGAUAGAGUACCAGACUUCGAAUCUGGGGGUUGCAGGUUCGAACCCUGCAGGGGUCACCA
rnacentral:tRNA from 2 species